rnacentral:snRNA from 1 species
AGCUUUGCGCAGUGGCAGUAUCGUAGCCAAUGAGGUUUAUCCGAGGCGCAAUUAUUGCUAAUUGAAAACUUUUCCCAAUACCCCGCCAUGACAACUUGAAAUAUAGUCGGCCUUGGCAAUUUUUGACAGUCUCUACGGAGA